GGACAAACGCUGGCGGCGUGCCUAAUACAUGCAAGUCGAACGCUUCUUUUUCCACCGGAGCUUGCUCCACCGGAAAAAGAGGAGUGGCGAACGGGUGAGUAACACGUGGGUAACCUGCCCAUCAGAAGGGGAUAACACUUGGAAACAGGUGCUAAUACCGUAUAACAAUUGAAACCGCAUGGUUUUGAUUUGAAAGGCGCUUUCGGGUGUCGCUGAUGGAUGGACCCGCGGUGCAUUAGCUAGUUGGUGAGGUAACGGCUCACCAAGGCGACGAUGCAUAGCCGACCUGAGAGGGUGAUCGGCCACAUUGGGACUGAGACACGGCCCAAACUCCUACGGGAGGCAGCAGUAGGGAAUCUUCGGCAAUGGACGAAAGUCUGACCGAGCAACGCCGCGUGAGUGAAGAAGGUUUUCGGAUCGUAAAACUCUGUUGUUAGAGAAGAACAAGGAUGAGAGUAACUGUUCAUCCCUUGACGGUAUCUAACCAGAAAGCCACGGCUAACUACGUGCCAGCAGCCGCGGUAAUACGUAGGUGGCAAGCGUUGUCCGGAUUUAUUGGGCGUAAAGCGAGCGCAGGCGGUUUCUUAAGUCUGAUGUGAAAGCCCCCGGCUCAACCGGGGAGGGUCAUUGGAAACUGGGAGACUUGAGUGCAGAAGAGGAGAGUGGAAUUCCAUGUGUAGCGGUGAAAUGCGUAGAUAUAUGGAGGAACACCAGUGGCGAAUGCGGCUCUCUGGUCUGUAACUGACGCUGACGCUCGAAAGCGUGGGGAGCAAACAGGAUUAGAUACCCUGGUAGUCCACGCCGUAAACGAUGAGUGCUAGUGCUUGGUAGGUUUCCGCCCUUCAGUGCUGCAGCUAACCGCAUUUAAGCACCUCCCGCCCUUG
rnacentral:rRNA from 1 species